rnacentral:lncRNA from 1 species
GGAUUUCGCCUCCCUAGACCAGGAGGGAUUGGACCCUGACUACAGGUCCAGGUGCUCGUCAGUGCCCUGCCAGGGGGUCUACGCGUCCUGGUACCGGGUCCAGCGGGGUGGCGUGCUGUGCAGACCCCGAGGCUAGACGGCCUAGGCCCCUGGAGCCCAGGAGACGCUUCCUUGGGGGGAACUUGCGGCUUGGGAGGGGACACCCACUGCAUGGCUUCUGGAAAGAGCCGGACUCGCAGGGCCAGGACGCAGGCCGGACCCCGGCCUCAUUCUUCGGCCAGUUAUCCCGGAGUGGCGCGCAUCCUGUCUUCCUGGGCCUCGGACUGCUCGCGCGCAGAGGGGGCCCGAGGACACCUCUGUGGGGUUAGAGGACUCGGUAAGACGGUGUGGAAGGCAAGGAGGAAGGUCGCGUUGUAUUGGGGAUGGGGUACCCGUCCCUCCCAGCUUGAGGGAUCCUGGGGGUCCUCGCCGCCUCUGAGGGCCUAGAUGGCUGCUUCCCUCGGCUCCCCUGCCCGGCCUGGAGCUACGGGUGCGCCCAGCUAGAGUUUAGGGCCACCUGGGGACGUGCAAGGGGCGCUGGAGCGAGGCGGGGGCUGGGGCGGGGCGUGGGUGCUUCACCCGCGGGGGACGCAGAGCUUAGGCGAAAGCGGUGCAGGCAUCUCUCUAAUCGCCGGCCGCUAUUAAAAAUAAAACCGCGACCCGUCGCCAUGGCGACCACAACAACAGCGGCCGCGCGAGGGAGGCGAAAACUUGUGCAGCCGCGCGACAGCCGCCUUCUGGGGAGACUCGGGGCACGACGCACCCGGCGUGGGACUGGGACCCCCCUGCCCGGCCCCGCCACAUUCUCCGCCGGAUCCCCGGAAGACACAAGGAGACGUGGACCCCCACAGGCUUUUUUGGGGGGAUUGGGCGUUGAAACCGCAGGGCUGACUUAACCAAGAGGUCACCGACUUGGAUAAAAAACCCACGCCCGCGCGGACCCCCCUCCCCGGCCUUCGUUUCCAUUCAAACUCCCAGCGUCCUCAUUGCAGCCCCUGGGGAGGGGGACGGAGGGACGAGGUGGGUUUCAGGUGCUCGGCCCAGGAGGGGACGGUGCGACCCGGGCCCCGCCGGCGGGUUUUGCGCGCGGAGGCUGCGGCACCUGCCCCGCCCGCCCUGCCGCGAUCCUUGCAGACGGGGGCGGUCACAUGCUUCUUUCUGGCCAGGAAUCGAGUUUCACUUCCAGCCGCUAUUAGUCGGUUCACACAGUUCACUGCAAACAUUUGAUAAUGAGGCUAAAUAUACUCCCGCGUCGGAGGAGGCGUGGGCGUCCCCGCCCAGGCCCGGGAGACAGAGGCGCUGACCCCGGGACAGAGCCUGGCUUUGUGCGGGAGGCAGACGCGCCCCGCGCGCCGCCCCCGAAACAUUCGCACCCCAUGCUGAGGCGCGCGUCUGGGAGUCCGUGGGCGCCCCGAGGUGAGCCCGGGGCCCCUGGCGGAAGCAGCGGGGAGCUCCCGGCGGGUGCGGGGAGGUGCUGGUGGGAAGCAAGGUGCACCUGGCGGCCUGGGAUGUCCGGUCGCCCCCGGAGCCGGUGCAUCCGGCCUCUCCCGGCGCGCCCCGACGUGCCCGCGGGCUCAUAAUUACCGUGAGUCAGGUGCCCCAAAUAGGCCGAGCGAGGGGGGCCGUCGCGCAGCAGGGGCGGGUGGCCGGACGUCUGCCCGGGACUGGUUGCCUCCCGCCCCUCCCCAAGACCCUGGCACCCAGGGAGGGCGGGAAAGGCCUUGGCCAUUCCUCUGGGUAGGGGACUGGAGAGGGGAAGAAACUUUCGCCGAGUCCAGCGCUGCCCCCUCAUACCCAUCCCCACCCAGGCUGCGUGUCCGGGGCCCCUCCGGGGCUUGGCACCAGCAGGCACGCAGCGAUCGCCGUCGUUGUUAUUUAGUAGUAGUAGUAACGGCUGACAUUUACAGCGACGUCGAUGGCGCCAGGUGCCAAGCUCUUUCCUUGUAUAAUUUCAUGGACACUCACGCAUCAACUCUAAGCGAAGACUUGGAGCGGGGCUCAGCACCCCAGGGGUACCUCUGCAACCUCGGUAAAUAUAGACUAUCCUCAAUUCGCAGGGGCAUUUGUACGUGGGGUGUACAGGCAGGAACAGGAAAGACGCUGUGGCCACCCAGGAGUAGGGGCGGCAGCCAACACCCCCUGGAUCCCCAGUUCCAAGGUGCAGGGAGGGGGGCAGAGGCCAGUUCCCUCCGCUCUCUGCCCCUUGACCUUGGCCUUGGUGAGCUCUGUCCCUAGACUGCCCUGGGUGUCUGUUCCCUCAUCUGAAAAGCGUGAGGCCCACAGCCGUCACUGCACACAGCUGCCGUCACUGCACACAGCUGCCUCCACUGUCGGGAAGCCUCCCUCCUGCCCACCUGCCCAGGAAAAGCUGCGCUAGCGUGCCCUGGGCAAGCGCCCUGCUGGCCACCUGCCUGCACCUGGGUUGGGGGUGGGGGGACCAGCUGAGCACCCAAAUCCUGGCCUCUGCCCCCAGCGCCAGAGCAGAUUUCAGAACAAUUUGUAAUGACGAAACCCCACGUUUCCCUUUAUCUCUGGGCAAGGCUUUCUUCGUCCUAGGCAAUUAAUCCAAAAGCAACACCAGCCGAGUGGGCUGGACUCCUUGAAGAUCAAAACUGCCCAGCGCAGGCAUUAAUUAAGUCAUUAUCUCAGGCCCCCAGCGACUAGGGAUCAGGCCUUUCCAGUUCACACUCUCCAGAAAGGGAGAUAACUGCCCCGCCAGCAGGGUGGGAAGGCUCUCUCUCCAUGUUGUUUUAACUCCCUAUUAAAUCAUUUUAUUUUAAAUACACAAACAGAAAUGAAGUUGAAAAUAGCACAGGAGCCCACUAUCACUGUGUGAACAUUUUGUGAAUGAAGACAUGUAUGAAAGGAUGUUUGGAGGCUUCAAGAAACGAAAGCCGAGAGUCUAGCUAGACCAGAGCCAUCCAGCCCAGGAGCGAUGGCCACGUGUGGCCGCUGGACACGAGAGACGUGGCCAGUCCAAACUGUGCAGUGCGGUAAGGGCAGAACACAUGCCAGCUUUCGAAGGCUUAGUAAAGAAUGCAAAAUUUCUCAAUUGGGAAUUUUUGUAUGAAUUUCAGGUUGAAAAAAACAUUUUGGAUAUAUGGUGUUAAAUAAACAUGAUUACAAUGACUUUCGCUGUCAGCCUCCCGGAGGCUCAUUUUGCUCCUCUGGGCCACAGCCAGCUCAGAGGGUUGCUCUAGGAAAUAUCUACACGUUCUUGAAGCACAGGUUUAUGUGCCAGGCACUGUACUAAGUGCUGGGGACACGGCGUUAAGACCAGGCCCUCACGGAGCCCUCACUCUCUGAGGAGGAACAAUAAGUCAGAGAGCGCGCGAGUGCAGCCCUUCAGGCAAAGGAUUUCAGGCCCAGGUCAGGAAGGCCUUGUCUGAGGAGUCUGAGAAGAAGUCAAUUGACAACAGCUAGAACAUCUAGGUCAGGCACUCCAGGCCGACACGACAAAGCAGGUGCAAAGGCCCCAGGGCGGGAACCAGCGUGGCUUGUUCACAGAACAAGGAGGUAGAUCGCUUGCCCUUGGGACCAAAGGAAGGCUCUGGAUUUUAUUCUAGGGGCAGUGGAAGCCGUUGGAGGGCCUCAGGCAGGAACACAAGGUGUCGUGGCAGAAAGGAAGAAGGGGCCGGGCACGGUGGCCCACACCCGUCAUCCCAGCACUUUGGGAGGGAGGCCAAGGCAGGAGGAUCGCUUCAAUCCAGGAGUUCAAGAUCAGCCUGGGCAACACAGCAAGACCCCGUCUCUACUAAAACCCUAAAACUUAGCCAGGCUUGGUGGCAUGUGCCUAAGGUCCCAGGUCCUCGGGAGACUAAGGCAGGAGGAUUGCUUAAGCCCAAGAGUUUGAGGCUGCAGUGAACUAUUAUCACACCACUGCACUCAGCCUGGGUGACAGAGUGACUCUGUCUCAAAACUAAAUAAAUAAACAAUAAUUGUGUUAUUCUGUCUCCAUUUCUCGCAUACUGAAUUUAAGGUGGACUCAGCCAGCGGGUUCAGGCCCAGGGUCUGUCCUGCAGCUACAGUCAGGGUUGGUGGCUGCAGCUGUCAUGGGGGAGCGGUGAGGUUGGGGGAACAGGGGGGCUGGCCUGCAUCCCCCACUUUCAGGUGGGCUCAACUCCGUCUCGUGGCCUAUUGGGGGCCAGCAUGGGCUUCCUUACAGCAUGGAGGCCUCCAGGGUCAAGCUGCCUCUGGGAUGGCAGAGGGCUUUGUGUUCGUGCUCCCACGCCCACAGUGGAGGCAAUACACCCUUUCCAGAUCUAGCAGUACAGGUGCGCAGCACCACACCUCUGUACGCUCUCAGCCUAAGCUGUCCCCAGCCCUCCUGGCCUCUGGAGGAGGGGACGCAGAAACUCCAUCCCGGACAGAGGGAGAGCCAGUGUGUGCACAGGCAGCUUCUAACACUGCUUCGUGGUUUCACACGGCUCCCUCAUGGAGAAGGGGCUGGAGGAGGACAGGGAGGUGUGCAGUCAUCUGGGUGACAUAUGAGGGUGGCUGGGCUUCCAGAUGGCUGCAGUGGAGACCGUAAGAAGAGUGCACGAGGUAAGGCUUCCGAAACGCCCAGCAGGUUCCUGGCAGCUGCAGACAACUCAAUUCUUAGCACUUGCCAAUAGCUGGGGUGUAAACACUCCCGCCGUCGCUAUUUCGGGCUAUGCUCCUUGCCUCCACUGGGUCUGGCUCUUAAAACAGCAAGAAAGCAACUCGGAAGCUGAGUCAGCCCCGUCUCUCCACCGUGCCCACAGAUCCUUCCCUGUUCCAGAGCUCCCGUUGGCAGCCAGCUGGGCUUCUCAGGGGGCAUCUCCAGUCCUGUGCAGUCAGAGAAAACCAGGGAAGCAUCUUGAUCUCACCUAGAAAUUAAGGCCAUCACAUCCAACACCUGCAUUUUACAGGUGAGGAGGCUGACAUUACAAGUAGUGGUGGUGGUGACAUUUGAACCCAGACCCCUGUCCUCCGGGGCCUGUUUCCCUGGGAGCUGCGGACUCUGCGUGGAGACACAGAAAUAGAGACCCAGAUGGCUCCCGUAGAAACAGAGUCACCCCCCAGGGCAGCUGGAAGGGAGUGGGAGAGGACAGGUCCUCAAGGGCCUCUGCUCUCCACUUCCCUCCCCGCCUCGCCGUGUCCUCUCCCUUCCUCUCUCCAACCCCUGCAGGGGGAGGCCUGGCUGGGAAGAGACGUUUUCUGAGUAGAUGUUUUGGCUGGGCAGACUGAGCUUUGAGAAGCAGCCAGGCCGAGCGGGGCUAGGGAGUGAGGGCAUUGGGGAGCCUGAACUUUAGUGACCACUGCCCCUCCCAGGCCAAAGCCGCAAACCCCUCCCAUCCCCAAGGGCUUCAGACUCAAGGCCCAAGUUCCUGCA